GCCGCGGUAAUACGGAGGAUGCGAGCGUUAUCCGGAUUUAUUAGGUUUAAAGGGUGUGUAGGCUGUGGAGUAAGUCAGUGGUGAAAUCUUUCGGCUUAACCGGGAAACUGCCAUUGAUACUGCUUUACUUGAGUAUAGUUGAGGUAGGCGGAAUGUGUAAUGUAGCGGUGAAAUGCAUAGAUAUUACCCAGAACACCGAUUGCGAAGGCAGCUUACUAAACUAUAACUGACGCUGAUGCACGAAAGCGUGGGGAGCGAACAGGAUUAGAUACCCUGGUAGUCCACGCUGUAAACGAUGAGCACUCGCUGUAGGCGAUACACAGUCUGUGGCUGAGCGAAAGCAUUAAGUGCUCCACCUGGGGAGUACGUCGGCAACGAUGAAACUCAAAGGAAUUGACGGGGGCCCGCACAAGCGGUGGAACAUGUGGUUUAAUUCGAUGAUACGCGAGGAACCUUACCUGGGUUUAAAUUUGGGAUGACGAGUUUUGAAAGAGGCUUUCCCUUCGGGGCAUUUCAGAAGGUGCUGCAUGGUUGUCGUCAGCUCGUGCCGUGAGGUGUCGGGUUAAGUCCCAUAACGAGCGCAACCCUUAUUGCUAGUUACCAACGAGUAAAGUCGGGGACUCUAGCGAGACUGCCACCGUAAGGUGUGAGGAAGGUGGGGAUGACGUCAAGUCAGCACGGCCCUUACGUCCAGGGCUACACACGUGUUACAAUGGCCGGUACAAAGGGCAGCUACAUGGCGACAUGAUGCUAAUCCCGAAACCCGGUCUCAGUUCGGAUCGGAGUCUGCAACCCGACUUCGUGAAGCUGGAAUCGCUAGUAAUCGCGUAUCAGCAACGACGCGGUGAAUACGUUCCCGGGCCCUGUACACACCGCCCGUCAAGCCAUGGAAGCCGGGGGUACCUGAAGUCUGUAACC
rnacentral:rRNA from 1 species